AGUAGAGCAGAGAGGAGUGAAAUAACCCCAGAGGUGAAAAAUAAAAAUUAUCCACGUUGGAAUGGAACAUCAUAAUUCUGUCAGUCAUCCUGAUGACCAUUCAUUUCUGCAGAAUAUAAAAGGGAAACCAGAGUCUCUCCCAAGAAAACUGUCUUUUGAAUUCAAGCCCUCAGGGAAGAUCUUUGAUGCAUCGUUCUUCUUCCUUGUUGUGCCUUCUCUUCAUUACAAAUAGCCUUUCAUGAAGCUUACAAGAAGGGACAUGAGCACCAGCACCCAGCGAGCAACCACCUAGGUCACAAAAAUGAUAGCAUGUGAGUACAGUUCAUGCGGGGUCAGCUGUCUCAGAACAUGGCACCUACUUAGUGGACUUGGCAACGCGAUCCCUAUUUGUAAUGCCUUUGCUAUCACACACUGAGGGCUCGCAGCGUCAUGCUCUCCACACGGCAGGCAGAGCACAGCUUGUUUCCAAAGGCCUCCUGGAUCCGGAGAACCAGGCGUUUGUGGUGGGCCUCAUCCAUGGCGUAGAAGUGGUUGAAAUCUAGGAAGACAAUCUCUUGGGGGUGUUGGGUGAGAAAUGAGUCAAUCUCCAUCAGCCCGUCCCAGACCUUGAUGCCAAAAAGUCCGUGAAUGAAGUAGAUCUCCUGGUCGGCAUCCCCGGGUUUGGAAGACACACGCAGGUCGAAGUAGCGGA